GGUUCUAUGGUGUAGUGGUUAGCACUCUAGACUUUGAAGCUAGUGACUUGGGUUCGACUCCUAGUGGGAUCU